GUACGGGAGGCAGCAGUGAGGAAUAUUGCGCAAUGGGGGAAACCCUGACGCAGCGAUGCCGCGUGGGUGAAGAAGGCCUUCGGGUCGUAAAGCCCUGUCAGGCGGGAAGAACAGCUCCGGGGCUAAUAUCCUCGGGGUGUGACGGUACCGCCGAAGGAAGCACCGGCUAACUCCGUGCCAGCAGCCGCGGUAAGACGGAGGGUGCGAGCGUUAUUCGGAUUUAUUGGGCGUAAAGAGCGUGUAGGCGGCCAGCCAAGUCUGAUGUGAAAGCCCGGGGCUUAACCUCGGAAGGGCGUUGGAAACUGGUUGGCUUGAGUUCGGGAGAGGAAAGCGGAAUUCCGGGUGUAGAGGUGAAAUUCGUAGAUAUCCGGAGGAACACCGGUGGCGAAGGCGGCUUUCUGGACCGAAACUGACGCUGAGACGCGAAAGCGUGGGGAGCAAACAGGAUUAGAUACCCGAGUAGUCC
rnacentral:rRNA from 1 species